rnacentral:rRNA from 1 species
UACGUAGGGGGCAAGCGUUGUCCGGAUUUAUUGGGCGUAAAGAGCGUGUAGGCGGCCAGACAGGUCCGUUGUGAAAACUCGAGGCUCAACCUCGAGAUGUCGAUGGAAACCGUCUGGCUAGAGUCCGGAAGAGGAGUGUGGAAUUCCUGGUGUAGCGGUGAAAUGCGCAGAGUAUCAGGAAGAACACCUAUGGCGAAGGCAGCACUCUGGGACGGUACUGACGCUGAGACGCGAAAGCGUGGGGAGCGAACAGG